AGAUUGCAGGCUGCAACCCGCCUGCAUGAAGUCGGAAUUGCUAGUAAUCGCGGAUCAGCAUGCCGCGGUGAAUACGUUCCCGGGCCUUGUACACACCGCCCGUCACACCAUGGGAGCCGGUAAUACCCGAAGUCAGUAGUCCAACCUCGUGAGGACGCUGCCGAAGGUAGGAUUGGCGACUGGGGGUGAAGUCGUAACAAGGUAGC
rnacentral:rRNA from 1 species